AGGAAAAUAGUUUAAUCGGUAGAACAUUGGUCUCCAAAACCAAGGGUUAGGGUUCGACUCCCUAUUUUCCUG